rnacentral:lncRNA from 1 species
GCCCUAAGUCUGUCUCCCAUCUCUUUCCUGACCUUUCAAUGAUGGGAGAACUCCACUCUGAACAGGAAGCAGAACAGCAGAGUCCUGGGAGGGACAGAGACCUGGGAUCUCAUCUGAGUCCCUGCAUCUACUUCUUCCUGAGACUGUUUACUCCUGGACAAGGAUCUCUUCUUGUUGCUUCUUUGCCCAUUCCCUGGCACCCGCUUUUUUUCUCCUGAUUGAGCAACUGCUAUGGUUUGAAUGUGUCCUCCUAAAAAC